GACGAACGCUGGCGGUGUGCUUAACACAUGCAAGUCGAACGGUAAGGCCCUUUCGGGGGUACACGAGUGGCGAACGGGUGCGUAACACGUGAGUAACCUGCCCUCAUCUCUGGGAUAACAGUCGGAAACGGUUGCUAAUACUGGAUAUGAGCUUGCAAGGCAUCUUGUGGGUUGGAAAGAUUUUUUUUGGUUGGGGAUGGACUCGCGGCCUAUCAGCUUGUUGGUGAGGUAGUGGCUCACCAAGGCUUCGACGGGUAGCCGGCCUGAGAGGGCGACCGGCCGCAUUGGGACUGAGAUGCGGCCCAAACUACGACAGGAGGCAGCAGUGGGGAAUAUUGCACAAUGGACGGAAGUCUGAGGCAGCAACGCCGCGUGCGGGAUGACGGCCUUCGGGUUGUAAACCGCUUUCAAUUGUGAAGAAGCCUUUUUGUGACGGUAGCAGUAGAAGAAGCACCGGCUAACUACGUG
rnacentral:rRNA from 1 species